rnacentral:rRNA from 1 species
AGUGAACGCUGGCGGUAGGCCUAACACAUGCAAGUCGAACGGCAGCACAGAGGAGCUUGCUCCUUGGGUGGCGAGUGGCGGACGGGUGAGGAAUACAUCGGAAUCUACUCUGUCGUGGGGGAUAACGUAGGGAAACUUACGCUAAUACCGCAUACGACCUACGGGUGAAAGCAGGGGAUCUUCGGACCUUGCGCGAUUGAAUGAGCCGAUGUCGGGUUAGCUAGUUGGCGGGGUAAAGGCCCACCAAGGCGACGAUCCGUGGCUGGUCUGAGGGGAUGAUCAGCCACACUGGAACUGAGACACGGUCCAGACGCCUACGGGAGGCAGCAGUGGGGAAUAUUGGACAAUGGGCGCAAGCCUGAUCCAGCCAUACCGCGUGGGUGAAGAAGGCCUUCGGGUUGUAAAGCCCUUUUGUUGGGAAAGAAAUCCAUCUGGUUAAUACCCGGGUGGGAUGACGGUACCCAAAGAAUAAGCACCGGCUAACUUCGUGCCAGCAGCCGCCGUAA